rnacentral:rRNA from 1 species
GAUGAACGCUGGCGGCGUGCCUAAUACAUGCAAGUCGAGCGAACGGACGAGAAGCUUGCUUCUCUGAGGUUAGCGGCGGACGGGUGAGUAACACGUGGAUAACCUACCUAUAAUACUGGGAUAACUUCGGGAGACCGUAUCUAAUACCGGAUAAUAUUUUGAACCGCAUGGUUCAAAAGUGAAAGACGGUUUGGCUGUCACUUAGAGAUGGAUCCGCGCUGCAUUAGCUAGUUGGUAAGGUAACGGCUUACCAAGGCAACGAUGCAUAGCCGACCUGAGAGGGUGAUCGGCCACACUGGAACUGAGACACGGUCCAGACUCCUACGGGAGGCAGCAGUAGGGAAUCUUCCGCAAUGGGCGCAAGCCUGACGGAGCAACGCCGCGUGAGUGAUGAAGGUCUUCGGAUCGUAAAACUCUGUUAUUAGGGAAGAACAUAUGUGUAAGUAACUCUGCACGUCUUGACGGUACCUAAACAGAAAGCCACGGCUAACUACGUG